GUCUAUGGCCAUGCCACCCUGAACAAGCUAAGCAGGAUCAGGCCUGGUUAGUACUUGGAUUGGAGACCACCUAGGAAGACCAGGUGCUGUAGGCA
rnacentral:rRNA from 1 species